rnacentral:rRNA from 1 species
AUGAACGUUGGCGGCGUGGAUUAGGCCUGCAAGUCGCGCGAGAAGCUCCUUCGGGAGUGGACAGCGGCGAAAGGGAGAGGAAUACGUAUAAAUCUACCCUCGGGUUUGGGAUAGCGUCGGGAAACUGGCGGUAAUACCAAGUAACGUCUUCGGACCAAAGGUGUGAUUCCGCCUGAGGAUGAGUCUACGUCCUAUUAGCUAGUUGGUGAGGUAAUGGCUCACCAAGGCAACGAUGGGUAGCGGGUGUGAGAGCAUGACCCGCCUCACUGGGACUGAGACACUGCCCAGACACCUACGGGUGGCUGCAGUCGAGAAUCUUUGUCAAUGGACGAAAGUCUGAACAAGCGACGCCGCGUGCGGGAUGAAGGCCUUCGGGUUGUAAACCGCUGUCGUAGGGGAACAAAUGUAUGGGGGUUAUCCCCUUUACUUGAGUGAUCCUAGGAGGAAGGACGGGCUAAGUUCGUGCCAGCAGCCGCGGUAAGACGAACCGUCCAAACGUUAUUCGGUAUCAC